rnacentral:rRNA from 1 species
CCUACGGGAGGCAGCAGUGAGGAAUAUUGGUCAAUGGACGAGAGUCUGAACCAGCCAAGUAGCGUGAAGGAUGACUGCCCUCUGGGUUGUAAACUUCUUUUAUAUGGGAAUAAAAUGUUCCACGUGUGGGAUUUUGUAUGUACCCUAUGAAUAAGGAUCGGCUAACUCCGUGCCAGCAGCCGCGGUAAUACGGAGGAUUCGAGCGUUAUCCGGAUUUAUUGGGUUUAAAGGGAGCGUAGGUGGAUUGUUAAGUCAGUUGGGAAAGUUGGCGGCUCAACCGUAUAAUUGCAGUUGAAACUGGCAGUCUUGAGUACAGUAGAGGUGGGCGGAAUUCGUGGUGUAGCGGUGAAAUGCUUAGAUAUCACGAAGAACUCCGAUUGCGAAGGCAGCUCACUGGACUGCAACUGACACUGAGGCUCGAAAGUGUGGGUAUCAAACAGGAUUAGAUACCCCUGUAGUC